AGGUAAAAUGCUUUUAAGACAACUUACUACUGACAACAUAGAUUGGAACACUCCGUUACCUAUUGAGAAACAACAAAGAUGGGAGAAAUGGAAAGGUUCUCUGAAGCCACCAGAACAGCUCCAAAUUCCACAUUGCUAUGCCCCAGUCUCCAUUUCAGCCGCUAACCAGAGGGAAAUCCAUAUUUUCUCAGACACAUCAGUUGAAGCUAUAGCUGCAGUGGCCUAUUUGAAGACCUCAGGGGUUAGGGGGUCAUACAUUGCAAUUUUGUUCUAGGCAAGGCAAAGCUUACACCUAAACCUGCGCAUACCAUACCC